GUCUCUCUCAUCGGCUGGCUGUUGCCUAUGGUCCGCAGGAUCGGCUCCGUGUCCGGGCAGCCUGGGGCCGGCCAGCUCUCAGACCGGCGGCGGAGCAGGCAUGCUUCUGCAUGACGGUGCCACCAUACUAGAAGCUGUUACCACUCCAUGUAUGCUCUGUGGUGAGACAGCAACAUACGAGCUGUUAGUGAGGAUUCUCGGCCUAGUUAUUAGCUGUAACAUUGGAGUACAGAAUGCAGGCCUUCCUUUGGGGAUUGGGUACAGACAGAACUGCCUCACGACGAAGUGAUUGAAGCCAUUGGAAUUUCCUGGAAUUGCUUCUGGAAGGCACGCUGAGUGGAGACAAUGCAAUCACAGCAUUUGGAGAACAGCAGUACCAGCUGCCAUCAGGGGCAAAAGGAGAUUGAAUCCCUUACUUAAAAACUGAUUCUACAACAACAGUAUAAUCAGUAGCUGACUUUAAGUGAUCUUCAUUUCAUAGCCUAGAGGUCCUUCUGAAUGAUGCUUGGCUACCAGCACUUAUGCGUGUCUUCACGGACACUCACCAUUCUAAGAACCUGCACUUAUGAUUUUUAUGGAUUGAUGAUAUAAAUUUCAAGGAUUGAGAAGAUUGGAAUUUGAUCAAAAUUGUAGCUUAUUUAUUUUUUUAUUAGCUGACUUAUAUAAGGGUAAAACUCAAUGAAUUUUUUCCUAGAAGACAUGUGGAAACUUCAAAUAAAUGUAUUUUUUAAUACCUACUGAUAAUCUCUCAUGAUGCAUGAAUCUAUUAAAUCAAUGGCCUCUCUGAAUUUAAAAAUUGUAUGAUUUAUUGGAAACAUUUAAAUAUUUAGUACUACACUAAAUUGAUGUGUAGCAGCAUUGUGUGUACAUGCAAUAAGUGUUUGUUUCGGUCAUUUCUCAGACAACUGGCAAUUUUGGAGCCAAAUUUAAUGUAAAUUUUAACUGCUACCAAAGCAAAUAGCUCAUGUGAUGGUCAAAGGAACUGAUGUCUUCUGUGUCCAGAUAAAAGCAUCUAACCCUAGUGACAGCUCUGUCAGGAUGUAAUGCCUCCCAUGACAGCUGGAGACAGCAUAUUGUUCUUGACAUUGAGUAAAAACCAGAUCUUGAUUUCAUAGACAUUAAAAGGUGAAGAAAACAUCCAUUUAAAAAUGAUAGAAAUGGUGAUGACAGUGAUGGCCAUUUGCAAAAUCAUUAUAGAAAAAUCUGUAUUUUCUCCAUAUGUUAACAAUAAAAAAAUAACUGUAUGGAAGCUAGGAAAUGUAUUGGAAAAGAUUAUCUGUUAUUCUCAUUAUACUAUUAUAAUAAUAGCCUCCUGAUCAUAAACUUAUCAAUCAAUAAAUAAACUUGUAAUAAACUUCUCAAACCUUUUUCUGGAGCAAUAAGAAGGGGAACAUGCUCGGCCAUCCUUGCAUUCCACCAGGAAUCAUGCUAGCCACUCCACACACGCCAUCUCAUUUAAUCCCCAAAGAAACCAUGUAGGAAACUUAUGAGAAAAAUGCAAAGCUGAGGCCCAGAGAGAAGUUAACAGGUUGUGAAAGAGCUCAUGAAA